AGGCGGCACCCAGACUUGCCCCGCUGAGAUGCAAAUCUGUGAAGAGAUGCCCUGCCAAAGCGCUUCAGUGGUGCCCCCUGAACGUGUCCACAAGGCCUUGCCUGGUGUGGUCUCUCCCGCUCCAGCCCCGUGACCCUCACUCAGUUCCUAUAGUGACCUGCUCUCCACUGUCCCAGCCUCUCUAGAAGAUGACAUUGCCUCGCUCUGGAACGUUCUGGUCCCCUUCCUUGCCUGGGCUCCAGUCAGAGCUCUGCUCAACACUUGCUUCCUGGAGAAAGCUUCUCUGCCAUGACGGGGCGCCUCCCCCUAAAACAGGCUGUGCAGCCAGGGGACGUCACCUCUUCACAGCACUGCUCACAGGCUCAUUCAUUAAGAACAUCUCUCCUGAGCAUCCCCCAGUGUCUGAAUUUUCUCCAAGGAUGGAGCUUCCAACCGUUGGUGAAAACGGAGGACACAGGCACGGCAGCAGCACUCUCGCGGCGCUGGUUUAACGUCAGGCGUGACCGUGGUCUGCCCUUUGGGAGAAAGGCAGAGCAGCGCCUCUCUGGAAGAUAGCUUUGAGACCGUCCAACUUUGAACGUCUCUGGACCUCACCUCCCAGACUUCCCCUCACUGGAGACAGGAGGCCUGUUUGCAUUGCGUAUUUUUAUUUAGAAGGUCAGUUGCAGCAAUGAAGAAAAGCUGAAAUAAACUGCUUUCUACAACCUUUUUUGCAAUAGCUUUCACAUUCAAGACGGAAGACGCCACUCAGUUCAAACUGGGAACAGAUUUUAGAAUGUCGGGGACAGCUGCGGAGUGAUUCUCUCAAAGUCCCAGGGCCCAAAAAUACUUGUCAGGCUGGGAGAGCAAGGAGAAUGACGCUGUCCUCCAGCUGUUUGAAGAGAAAUCAACGCCUCCAAAAGGUUCCCCGUAAAACCAGCCAAUCCCCUCCUCUCCGCCAGCCAGCUCUCGGGCAGACCUCCCUGUUUCCACUCUCCCUGUUUCCACGCUGCAAACGCAGAAGCCGCUCUUGACUCAGCCUCUCUCUGCCCUCUCGUGGCAGCGUGGGGUGGAAAGAGCGUGAGCCCGAAGAGGAUGUGAUGGCGGGAUACCCGGCCUGGGUCAUGCUUGCCCUGCGGUGAGAAUCUUCACUUCACUGAGCCCCACUUUCCUUGCAUGUGUCAUGGCGAUGAUGGCUUCCAUUUCCCAGGGUAGUUUCAGGAUGAAAUAAAGUAGUCCAUGAAAGCAUCUGCUGUACACUGGACAUUCAAUAAAUGUUAAAAACAAAACAAAAAAACCCAAACCCCAAGCUCCUCUUUUUUGCGUUGUAUCUCAGCCACAUCCCUCC
rnacentral:lncRNA from 1 species